UUAAAACUUACCGUAAUUUACUAUAGCCGGGCUAAUGCAUUUCUUUAUGAAGUAUACAGCAAGCGUAAAUGUUUGAUUUUGGGAUAAAGCAUUGAUUUUCAGAGCUACCUGGUUUUAAAGAAAGGCUCAGCAAAGUGUACAUGCAUCGACUGAUACAUCCAUAAAAUCAGCAGAGUGCACAUAUAUUGGGUGCUAUAAGAAGUCGUUAUGGUUUUAUCACAGAGCACCGUGGGAUAGCAUUUAACUUGGAAGUUCACGCCUCCUUCCUUACUAAUGUUGUGUAUAUGGCCACAGCCGGCUUCGAACCACGAACUUCCAGUUUUGAAACCAGAACUUUAAUUAAUUUUAAUAAUUUUAAAAUUUCUGAGUUAGAAAAUUGUAGUAAAAAUAA